rnacentral:rRNA from 2 species
ACGGGUGAGUAAUGCCUAGGAAUCUGCCUGGUAGUGGGGGACAACGUCUCGAAAGGGACGCUAAUACCGCAUACGUCCUACGGGAGAAAGCAGGGGACCUUCGGGCCUUGCGCUAUCAGAUGAGCCUAGGUCGGAUUAGCUAGUUGGUGAGGUAAUGGCUCACCAAGGCGACGAUCCGUAACUGGUCUGAGAGGAUGAUCAGUCACACUGGAACUGAGACACGGUCCAGACUCCUACGGGAGGCAGCAGUGGGGAAUAUUGGACAAUGGGCGAAAGCCUGAUCCAGCCAUGCCGCGUGUGUGAAGAAGGUCUUCGGAUUGUAAAGCACUUUAAGUUGGGAGGAAGGGCAGUAAAUUAAUACUUUGCUGUUUUGACGUUACCGACAGAAUAAGCACCGGCUAACUCUGUGCCAGCAGCCGCGGUAAUACAGAGGGUGCAAGCGUUAAUCGGAAUUACUGGGCGUAAAGCGCGCGUAGGUGGUUUGUUAAGUUGGAUGUGAAAGCCCCGGGCUCAACCUGGGAACUGCAUUCAAAACUGACAAGCUAGAGUAUGGUAGAGGGUGGUGGAAUUUCCUGUGUAGCGGUG